rnacentral:lncRNA from 1 species
GAGAGCCCAGGGAGCAAAUCCGGGUCCUCAUGGAUGGUAGUUGGAUUCAUUUCUGCUGGGCCACGAAGGGAACUCUGUGAAUUUCUGAAUAAUUUUGGAACAAGGGGCUCACGUUUUUAUUUUGCAAAUUACAGAGCCAGUCCUGCCCAGAUCUGACUUACUCCGAAGCCGGCACGCUUAACUCCUGCCAUCCGUGUAUCACACAGCUGGUCCAGAUUGGUUUUCCAGUUCAUCGGUACAGUAUUUAAUUGUUUGUUGCCUCCCAUUAGACGGGAGGUAGGGCAGUUGCCGGGGGCAGGGGGUGAUUCAUGCAUUGCCGUAUCCCCAGGGCCUGGCAGAUAUUAGCUGCUCACUUAAAAGUUGUGAAACAAAGAAUGAAUGGGAGGCGGCUGUAGCUCCCAAACUAAAGCAGGUCAUCCGUGGCAGCCACCCCCAGCUGGCUUCUGGACAGUUCCCUGAAGGGUAUGGAGACAAAGGUCUCCCCACCCCUGUGAACCUGCGCGCUAAUAUCUUGUAGCAGAUUACUGUUUAAACAGGUUCUGGUGGAGCCCGUAGCAGCAACCCAAGUGUUUAAAGACACACAGGCCUGGAUUCCUGAGCUCCUGUUAUUGGGGACGAUGCCAAGGCGGCCCAAAGAACAGCCAGGUUUUUCAGCUUUAGUUCUGCGCAGGUUCAAGUCCCAGCCAAGGAUCAGGGGGCAGAGUUUCCCAGACAGCUCAACGAGAGGGUUUGGAUUUGGGGACUAAAGAUCCUUUUGCCUCCGAAAUGAGAAUUUAGCUCCACCCUCCCAGUUCCCCCAUUUGCUCCUCAAAAAACUUACUUAGCUUUCCUGAGAAGCAGAGAAUCAUCUCAAAAGCCUUUAAGAUGCUCGCACCAAUAAUAACCGUGUGUUUUGCCACCUGUUUUCACAGGCUUGAUCUCCGGUCGCUUCAGAGAAUAAUCAUGUGAAAUAGGAGUUAACCAUCCUCAUUUUCUAAAUAACAUCAUAACCAUCACCCUAUACUGAGUGUUUUAUAAGAGCUAAGCCCUCCACACGGAUGAAGUCAUUUUUGUUGCACAAGCAACACAGAAGGGAGGCAGUGUUACUGUGUCUGGCUUUGCCACGAGGAAACAAGCUGAGAGAGAGGAAUGGACUUGUCCAAGCCCACACACCCAGCGUGUGAGGAGCCUGGAUCUUCCAUCUCAGAGGUCAGUGAACGUUUUCUGAAAAGGGUCAGAUCCUCAAUAGUUUAGGCUUUGCAGGCCAUCCUGUCCCUAUCACAGCUACUCUGCUGUAACAAGAAGCCAGCCGGCAACAAUCAGCAAAAUGAAUGGAGGCAGCUGUGUGUUCCACGAAAACUUUAUUUGCAAAGUCAGGCAGCAGGCUGCUUUGGGCCCACAUGCUCUUCCUUUGCCUACCCUGGUCCAGACCCUCAAACCUGCCUCUCAGUUAGAACGAACUUGGCCCUGCCCUCGUUCUUCCGCAGCCUCUCCCACCUCUGUGAAGUGACUUGAGUUGUGUUUCAAGAACAGAGACCAGGAGUUCCCACUGUGGCUCCGUGGAUUAAGAACUGACUCGUAUCCAUGAGGCUGUAGGCUCGCUCCCUGACCCCAUUCAGUGGGUUAGGAUCUGGCAUUGCCGUGAGCGGUGGUGUAGGUCUCAGAUGUGGCUUGGAUUCCUGUUGCUUGCGGCUGUGGUGUCGGCCAGAGCUGCAGCUCUGAUUCGAUCCCUAGCCUGGGAACCUCCAUAUGCUGCAGGUGUGGCCCU